rnacentral:rRNA from 1 species
CCUACGGGAGGCAGCAGUGGGGAAUAUUGCACAAUGGGCGCAAGCCUGAUGCAGCAACGCCGCGUGAGGGAUGACGGCCUUCGGGUUGUAAACCUCUUUUAGCAGGGAAGAAGCGAGAGUGACGGUACCUGCAGAAAAAGCACCGGCUAACUACGUGCCAGCAGCCGCGGUAAUACGUAGGGUGCAAGCGUUAUCCGGAAUUAUUGGGCGUAAAGAGCUCGUAGGCGGUUUGUCGCGUCUGCUGUGAAAUCUGGGGGCUCAACCCCCAGCCUGCAGUGGGUACGGGCAGACUAGAGUGCGGUAGGGGAGAUUGGAAUUCCUGGUGUAGCGGUGGAAUGCGCAGAUAUCAGGAGGAACACCGAUGGCGAAGGCAGAUCUCUGGGCCGUAACUGACGCUGAGGAGCGAAAGGGUGGGGAGCAAACAGGCUUAGAUACCCUGGUAGUCCACCCGUAAACGUUGGGAACUAGUUGUGGGGUCCAUUCCACGGAUUCCGUGACGCAGCUAACGCAUUAAGUUCCCCGCUGGGGAGUACGGCCGCAAGGCUAAAACCUCAAAAGUAGUAGUACGGACGUCGNGAGAGCGACGACGACGACGACGGAGGAGGAG